UUGGAAAGUGAGAAUAGCAUAAGAUCAUCAUCAGCUGGAUUCGGAAUUGCUGUAAAAUGUGGCCAGUAAUAGACCCGAUCAUAAAUUGCAGAGGCGUUGGGGCCGUGAAGAACUGCCUUAUUCAGCUUUCCAUCAGGAUUGUUUGGUGAGGUUACAAACUCAAUAACUUUGCCAGCUUCUGAAAUGUUAAGAAAUGAGGAUGUGUCUCCUUCAAACCUGUAGUCCAAUGAUCGAAAAAAUUCCGUUUGCGUUUUGUAAAGCUGUAAAUUUCGGACAUCAAAAUUAAAUUUUGUUAGAAAAGUUAAUCAUGCAUAUGGGAUUCUAAGCAAUUAGCAGGACUAUUUGUAGGCACUAACUGAUUAUAAGCUGCAAGGAAUUAUAAAGCCAAAUUCAGAAGUAAUAAGAAAUCGAACCCUGUAAUAAGGAAUUGUAGCUACAACACUUGCAGGUGAGGAGGAGUUGGAAGAAUUAUCAGAAGACAAUGCAUGAACUGCAGCAUUGAGAAGUUGGGUUGAGCCAGCACCAAACACAAUGUAUCUUCCUUGAGUUACUGCAUUUCCCACAGUGGAAUGCAAUUCACGGAUGUGCCCCUCUAGC
rnacentral:lncRNA from 1 species